CCAUCAGAGCUGCAGACAGAGAUGGUUGUGUCUCUCUCUUCUCACGGCGGUCUGACUGGCUUCUCUCAGCAGCCUCUGCACUCAUCUCGGGGCCUGUCACUAUGACUGAUGGUCACUUUACAAAUGGGGCAUUUCCCCCACAUCAUGGCCCCGCUGAAGCAAACAGUACUGCCACGAGUUUCUCGACAACCUGCCACACCUGCACUGAAGUUAUGAUACCCAAACUCAGCAUGUUUUCAGAUUAAGUGUCUUUAUACAGUUUUUACCGCUCAUUUGAAAAACCUUUGCACAAAAAAAAAAAUCAAAUCAGAACACCUGGACAUGACUAGAAACACAAAUUGUAUUUUGGUGUUCCUCAAGGCUCAAUACUCGGUCCUCAGUUUUUUCUUUCUUUCUGCAUAGCAGUUAUCUUCUUUUUUCUUUUUAAAUGACUUUUUGAUAGUUAAACAUUUACAACAGAUGCUUAAAGGUACCCUAAAAUAGGGCGAACACAUUCUGAAUCCCCCCAAAAAGGACACGACUACAUGGGGGAGGAGUCAUGGAGUUGUGCCUAAUUAAUUUUGAGAGGUUUUUUUGGAAUUUCCCCCUGUGGGACUAUCAAAAAACAUCUCAUCUCUUAUAUUUUCGGGUCAGAUUGAAUGUUUUUUACUUGCUUCUAACUCAGUAAGUCCACGCGACACAAACUCAAAACUUCCAUACAAAACCCCGGACAUUUGAAAGAUUUUAUAAACUCCCCCGGACAAAGCCAGACAGCCCCCCAAAAAGAGGACAUGUCCGGGUAAAAGAGGAUGUAUGGUCACCCUACCCUUAAACAGAUUAGACAGAAUAUCCUAAGACAUACCAAAAAGUACCCACAAGUAUGCCAAACAGUACCCAGAAGUGAUGCAAAACAGUCCUUUAAGAAACAUCCAAAAUACGGGAAGCUAAUGGUACCAUAAGACAGCAGCUAAUUGAGCUCCAUCUGCAGAGGAAGACUUGGAGAUGUAGUUGAAAGCUCCGAAAAGGAAAGUCAUGAACAUCCAUCUUCAUGUUAACAUCCAAACAUGGCAACAAUUUCUGCUCCGAGACGUCUUUUAUUGGUCGUUUCAGAUCCUGUCUACACUCUAACUAAAACUACAACAUGUCAAGUGUUGUUUUUAAUCUCCUUCAUGGCUCUCAUAUAGAGAGACAAACAUAUUAGCAGCCUGAAAGUGACUCAUGCUGCUGUUGUGGUGUUGUGGUUACAGGCGCAGGGCGAAGCUGUCGCCUCCAUGGGCGGGUUUGGUCGCUCACAGGAAACCAGCCAGGCUCAAAGUCAUUUAAAGAAGUGUGUAAAACACUAAAUGAGCUCUGCUCUAACAAACCGCUGCAGGCUGCCGAUGGCUACUGGGAGGCAGAGGAGAAGGAGGAGGAGGAAGAGAAGGAGGAGGAGAGAGGCAGGUUGUUAAACACUCCUGAACCCACUCACCUCGUCCUCAGUUUGGGAACAUCAGAUGUUCAUGUCUGACAAACACAACAAGUUAUUUUAAGACUUAUUCCUCUUAACAGGGAUCAGGUCCAAAGACUAACAAGCUGAGUGUUAGUAUUAGACAAGUAGUGGCCCAAAGCUUUCUCAAAAACAUGAUCUGCAGAUCCACAGGUAAAAGCAACCCAAAAAAAAGAGUCAUGUGGUUCUAUGAUGAGGUGGCUUUACGCCAACAUUUCUAAAUCAUCUGACAUGUUUUUCGACUGAUUGCUGUCUUUCCCCUGCAGAUGCAACUAUAAUCCCAACUUCAGAAAAGUCAAGAUGCUGCAGGAAAAUACCAACAAAAACAGAUAUCAUUUCAAAUCACUUAAACCCACACCUACUGCAUCACUUGUGCACUUUGUAAAUAUUUCUUUUAUACUUUUAUACUUCUUUAUAUUUUUGUAUCCUUAUUUUAUUGUAUUCUUCCUAGUACUUAUUGUGUGUUUUUAUCUGUACUUCUUUGGGUCAAGCGGUCCUUCUCAUCCAGGGCAUUUCAUUGCAUCGUUGACCUUGUUUAACCUGCAUAUGACAAAUAAACCAAUCUUGAAUCUUGAAAAACCUUUAUCCUAUAGGAAAUAAUGCAAAGACAACAUAUCAAAUGUUUGAACCGAAAAGUUUUAUUGUUACCUCUGCCAAGGAGGUUAUGUUUUCGGUAGCGUUGGUUUGUUUGUUUGUUUGUUUGUUUGUUUGUUUGUCUGUUAACAACCUUAUGGAGAAAGUUACAGAAGGAUUGACCUGAAAAUUUAUUUGCGUCUCAGCCCCAGGAGGAUCCUAUUAUAUUUUGGUGGUGAUCCGGAUCGCCUUCUGGAUCCAGGAAUUUUUUGAAGGAUUCUUUAUCAUUGUGAGAUAGGGCAAAUUUUGGAAUUCCUGCAUUUAACUCUAUAAAAAUGUCCAGAGUCUUUAGUAAAAAAAUACACAAAAGGAUCUCAAUGAGUUUUAUGAGGUGUCAAAGGUUGAUCCUGAUCCAGACAAAAUUCCGGAUACUGUGAGCUGCUUGGUGGAGGUCUGCGCUCUCCAAGUGCUUUUCUAGUUUUAUGAAUAAUAUGAGCUCAUUUCAACUUUGAUGCCAUUAAAGUAUUAUUAAAAAUAGCUGGAGGAACAACCAAACAGGUAAAACAAAACAGCUGGAGGAACAUCUCUCAGCUAAUGAGGUUAAUUUCCAAAAGGUUAGUGGUAUGACAUAACAGAUUUAAUCAUCUACAGAACAUAAUAUUAUUAAAAAGAUCCUGAGAAUCUGGAGAAAUCUUUGUGCAAAAGGGACAAGGACCAAAAACAGAGACUGGAUGGUUGCUGCAUUAAAACAGACAGGACUCUGUAGUGGAAACACCACAUGGGCUCAAAAUAACCACUAUCCUAUAAAACCAGAUCGUCUUGUGGUCUGAUUAAUUCAAAUUUGACAUUCUUCUUGGAAAUCAUGGACGCCACAUCUUCUACCCUGACAAGGAAGCGAGGUACAAAUAUGAUCGAGAAACACCAGAGACUUCUCUGGACCUGAGCAUAUUUGAGAUGAACUAAAGAGAAGAUAAAAACUGUCCUGUUAUCUGACAAAUCCAUGUUUGACAGUCUUUAUGGAAAUCAUGGACCCUGCGUCCUCUAAGAAGAGUAUAAUCAGUGCACACUUUAAAAGCCAGUGUCCUUUUACUGCAGAUGUAAAAGUCAGAAUGUCCUGUGUUCCUCAUAUUUGCAGUUGGAGUGUUUUUGUCUGUCCAGUUUCAGCAGCAGGUCACUGUAAACCAGAACUCUGCUGACUCUCCCCUCUUCAUUAAAAACUGGGCCACUCCGCGGAGCAUAUUUAGGAGUGCACCGCAGACCAGGCGACUGUGUGACUGUAGUUAGGCACCUUAAGAAGAGGAUGAUAAAUCGCUUUUUAAUUGCUUGUAAACGUGUAACUGGGCUGGCCGGCUGCCGUCGGUGCUGAUUGCAGUUUGGAGCUGAGCGCUGCGGCUGCUCAUCAGUCGUGUUCAGUGUUAAACAGGCUGCAUGGAUACAGCUCUGUCUGCUCUGUUUGUGGGGGUAUUAUGGCAACUUAACAUGUUGCAUUCCCACAACUCCCCUGCUCCUAAUUAUAUUUCCCCCUGCCAAACAUUUACAUUAUUUCAUAACACAACAUGACUGCACAUGAAAAUCCUGUUUCUGAAACUUGAACUCCACCCAAAACAUAGAAAUGCCCCCAAAAAUGUCAAACAUAAUAACUUUCAGCACAGUUGGACCCUCGUUCUGGCUCUGGAGAACAUACAGAGAGUGAGCGCAGCCUCUGAUUGGCUCGUUUGAACCUCCUGUGUUUAUUUUAUCCCAGGAGGUCUCAUGCAUGUGCAACAUUUGCCCGGAUUUUCUGAUGACUGAUGUCACACACUGGAGAAAGUCCAUGCAAAAGAUUUACUUAAACAUAAUUUAUAAAACUAAAGCGAACACAAAUCAACAGGGUGAUGAAAUCUGCAAAGCAUCCAGUCCGUGUCUGUGUGGCAUGAGAGCUGUUGGAGGAAGUUUCUGCAGGGUGGAUGUCAGCUGAGCGAACACACCAGGAAGCUUUUAUACCCCGUUAGCUGCAGAUGAAGUCAAUCAGCUGAUGACUCUGUGCUGACAACCAAUCAUCUGCUGAGACUGUCCAGAAGUAGAUGGAGCAGACAGAAGGAUGGGCGCCACAUCUUCAGCCUCCUGAAGAAGGUCCUAAAAGUUCUGUUUAGUGGUGUUUUCAGCUGUUUACAAAAUUUUCUUGUUGUCUUUUCAACAAGGGUUUGAAUUCAGUUGCAGAAAAUGUCACAAAUUCAAAGGGAAUCUUUUGUUUCUUACCCCCAAUUUCUACGGCAUCCGGAAUGGCUACGAAAAGGCCAUAUCCGCCGAUCACAGUUGAUCGUUUCCAUUCAAGUUAAAGUGUCAAUUUCCACCGCCUACUUUCCGUUCUGCUGCAGAUAAGUGAACUUCACAGCCAAUCGCAAAAGUUUGAUUUUUUUGGACGUUCAAAAAUUCAGCACAGAUUAAUCCGUGCUGGAAAGGAAGUCGGGCACAGGGGAUGGGGAUGAACAAGGAAAAGGUUUUCAGACGUCAUUUGACACCAUGGAUGAGGAGAUGCUGAUUCUAGAAGUCUAGAAGUGGAUUUCCUCCUCUGGAAGGACACAAUCUACUGCUUAUAUGAUUAUGUGUCUGUCUUUAUCGAGGCAACUCAUUAUUGUGCGAUUGCAAGUGAAUCCGCAGGUUCUUUUGAGUUCUCGUGAUUCCUGCUGUCCGUAAUUUGCCAUGAAAUCAAACGGACAAACCAGAUGGAAUUGGUGGAUGGCGAAAAUCCGCCAAUUCCUGUUCCAGAUUGGAGCUGUUCUAGAUGUGGUGGAAAAUUGGGGUUAGUUUGAUGAACAAAAUUGGCAAGCCCUCCAGAAGAGCUCCCACCGGUACCAUGAAAUAUAAUUCCUGUAAUAAACUGUGAAAAUUGUUGAAAAAGUGGUUUAUGAAGAUAAAUGUUAAAGCAAACCCGACAUAAACAGCAACAACAAAAAAAGCGCCAACUUUCACCAACAGAGAAGGUGGUGUGUCUUGUUUGAACCUUUGACAUCUUCACACUGGAGCAGAUGGAAAAUCUCAAAACACCAAUCAAAGGUAACACAAACUGGAGCGGAUACAUCCCAAUUCCCCGCACUUUAGUCAAGCUAACUUGUACUUUUCUACUUAAUGGCAUUAAGAUUUUUAAAACAAGGAUUAACCACACAGAAACCCUUCCUCCUGUGUUGGUAUGAACAGCAGCAGCUCCAGCGUUGGCCUUCUGUGGUAUGUAAACACAAGAGUUAGUCAGCAGUGAUCCAAAGUUUCCAAAGCUUGAUGGGGAGAGCCCUGCCUGCCACCAGGGGCGUCUGACUGCAUGACUAAUAAAGGUGUCAUUAAGCCUGUUGAUUCUCAGGCAGCAGCUCCUCUGUGCAGGUAGACCUUGGCAGGUUGUUUACAGUUUGGAUCCUUUGGGGGGUUGGGCCGGGUGGGUCAUAUCCUCAACUCCUCAGAGGGCAGGCAGGGUCUGACCCUGAAUUCAGGUGUCAUUAAGUGUGUUGAUUUUCACUACAGCUUUUCCAACCAGUAGGUAGAGCCUGGCAUGUGUCGGCCUCUCAACCUCUCAAUAAUUAUGUUAGCUUUAAGUUUGGGGGGAAAAAGUGACCGGCUGUUCCAGGAUGUGGAGCAUAACAUCUCCCCGAAGGGUGGACCCUGCCGAGGCUCUCGACUCUGAUUGGCUGCCAUCUGAGAUGAUUCAGCUCCAUCUCCACUCACCCUUCUGAUUAACUGACUUUUUCUCCAAUUACUUGGGUAACAAGUGACUGCAAGGCGUGGGCGGCUUGUUAGGAGCAUGACUGCUGAUCAGCUGAAGACGGGGUUUGAGUCUCGGCUGGAGGAAUAACCGAGGAGAGAGUGGGCAGACAAGCUGACCACAGCUGUCAGCAGAAUUACUCUGAGGUCUAAAUAAUAUAAAGGAUGAGGAGUGAAUUAUGAAGUUAGUCAUUAUUGUAAGAAGGUUUUUCUGUAGCCUGAAAGUCGUUUAACUUCUAACAAAUAAGUCAUUUGUUUUGUUUGGUAAAUGUCAUCAGACUAGAUUCUCGAAACCCAGAAGCCAGGAACGUUACCUCAACUAACUAAACCCAAUGAAAUGUAAGUGUGGGAGGUGAGCAUGAAAAAUAAGACUGAUGCUCCUGGGUUUUGUUUGAUUCUGGUUCUAAGUGGACUAUUUCGUCAUCUGCAAAAAAAAAGCCAUGAGGACACAAAACUUAAGAGGACCAAGGAAAGAGCCUUGAGGAACUCCUUUGAGAUUUACAGUGAAAAACUAGGGUUUAAUCAAAAUCACAAUACCUGUGUCAUUUUCAGGGGCUUCUCUUCUGCAGAGCUCCAGUAGCUCGUGGGCGGAUAAUACUCAGGCGGAAUCACGCUAGCUUGUAGCCUAACACUGCUGGUGAAGUAGAAAAAGCAGGUAACAUAGGAGGUAAAGUUAAUAUCAUAAUUAGCUUUUUUACAAGCAUUUCAAUCCGCUAACGCACACACUUGUUCUGCAAUUGUCCUCUCUAUUUCUUUGAGUCUCGCCUGCAUAGCGGGGCUCUGGGGGCGGAGCU